CUGCUGAAUGUGGUGGGUAGCCACAGUGGGCACACCUUAAAAACUCUGCGCACAGGCAAACUAACCACUUAAAGAGUGCCACCCAAAACCUGCUCACACUUGGCCUAUUUCCUCCUGCUUCAAGGCUAAAGGCGCAAAGGUGAGAGUGGCUGGGGUAUCUUAGCAUCAGCCUUUCCCACUGUCCUGUUCUAUGCUCCACAAAAACUGGCCGAGGUUCCCAGUCACUGUCCUAUACCUACCUUGGAUUCUAGGAACAGAACUCUGAGGACACAUCACCAAGUGAUGAGACUACCCCCAAGCAGAAGCAGCCACUCCCAGGGAAACAACUGACCCCUUUGAGCAAUAAGGACUUCUUUCAACCAUCUUGCAGAAGCAAACCUGAGCACUCUGCAGUUGGCAUACUGGUAUGGGUAGCUGAACCCAGUCUGUGAGGACUCACGAAGCCGGGGAUUUUAUGGAGUGCCGUGGAGAGCUCCAGGAACACCAACAGAUAAAUAAGCACCAACAGAUAAAUAAAUAAACUGAGCCACCAAGAUGGGAGUCGGACAGGGUAUGCGGGAGACACUAAGAAAAUGUGUUUGCUAAAUGACCAAGUGGACCAGCUGAGAGCGAGGAAGCCUGUGGUAGCACGGCUUAGAAGCAAUUCCAUGAGUUAAAAAGAAGAAACACUGGGUUUGAUGUGAGACGAGAGGUGACAGGUUUAGGGUUUGGAAACUGCUACUAAAAAAUAUGACUGCAGAGGCUGGAAUGAGCCGUCCCAAAUAUGCCUCUGUGGCCUAAAAAGUACUUGGAACUGGUUAUUGAACCGUAGGUACAGGAGAGGCUGAAGACAGAACGGAAGAAAGCCGUUUAUAGGAGGACUCUCCGUCUCAGAAGGAGAUCUUCAUUCGCAAAGAUGUCUCCUCUCGGCACCAAGAAGAAAAGGAGGGCCCAAAGCAGCUAGAAAGAAUGGACAACGGAGAAGGCGGGACACAGACCUGCAAA